rnacentral:rRNA from 1 species
GAUGAACGCUGGCGGCGUGCCUAAUACAUGCAAGUCGAGCGAACAGACGAGGAGCUUGCUCCUCUGACGUUAGCGGCGGACGGGUGAGUAACACGUGGAUAACCUACCUAUAAGACUGGGAUAACUUCGGGAAACCGGAGCUAAUACCGGAUAAUAUAUUGAACCGCAUGGUUCAAUAGUGAAAGACGGUUUUGCUGUCACUUAUAGAUGGAUCUGGGCCGCAUUAGCUGGUUGGUAAGGUAACGGCUUACCAAGGGAACGAUGCGUAGCCGACCUGAGAGGGUGAUCGCCCCCACUGGAGCUGAGACACGGGCCUGACUCCGACGGGAGGCAGCAGUAGGGAAUCUUCCGCAAUGGGCGAAAGCCUGACGGAGCAACGCCGCGUGAGUGAUGAAGGGCUUCGUAUCGUAAAACUCUGUUAUUGGGGAAGAACAAAUGUGUAAGUAACGAUGCGCGUCUGGACGGUACCUAAACAGAAAGCCACGGCUAACUACGU